AAAAAAGGUAAGCUACUAAGAGCGAAUGGUGGAUGCCUUGACUGGUAAAGGCGAUGAAGGACGUACUAGACUGCGAUAAGCUACGGGGAGCUGUCAAGAAGCUUUGAUCCGUAGAUUUCCGAAUGGGGCAACCCAAUGUAUAGAGAUAUACAUUACCUAUAUAGGAGCGAACGAGGGGAAUUGAAACAUCUUAGUACCCUCAGGAAAAGAAAUCAAUAGAGAUUGCGUCAGUAGCGGCGAGCGAAAGCGCAAGAGGGCAAACCCAGUGCUUGCACUGGGGGUUGUAGGACUGCAAUGUGCAAGAGGUAAGUUUAGCAGAACAUUCUGGAAAGUAUAACCAUAGAGGGUGAUAGUCCCGUAUGCGAAAAACAAACCUUAGCUAGCAGUAUCCUGAGUAGGGCGGGACACGAGGAAUCCUGUCUGAAUCUGGGUCGACCACGAUCCAACCCUAAAUACUAAUACCAGAUCGAUAGUGCACAAGUACCGUGAGGGAAAGGUGAAAAGAACUGAGGUGAUCAGAGUGAAAUAGAACCUGAAACCAUUUGCUUACAAUCAUUCAGAGCCCUAUGUAGCAAUACAGGGUGAUGGACUGCCUUUUGCAUAAUGAGCCUGCGAGUUGUGGUGUCUGGCAAGGUUAAGCAAACGCGAAGCCGUAGCGAAAGCGAGUCUGAAUAGGGCGCUUAGUCAGAUGCUGCAGACCCGAAACGAAGUGAUCUAUCCAUGAGCAAGUUGAAGCUAGUGUAAGAACUAGUGGAGGACUGAACCCAUAGGCGUUGAAAAGCCCCGGGAUGACUUGUGGAUAGGGGUGAAAGGCCAAUCAAACUUCGUGAUAGCUGGUUCUCUCCGAAAUAUAUUUAGGUAUAGCGUUGUGUCGUAAUAUAAGGGGGUAGAGCACUGAAUGGGCUAGGGCAUACACCAAUGUACCAAACCCUAUCAAACUCCGAAUACCUUAUAUGUAAUCACAGCAGUCAGGCGGCGAGUGAUAAAAUCCGUCGUCAAGAGGGAAACAACCCAGACUACCAGCUAAGGUCCCUAAAUCUUACUUAAGUGGAAAACGAUGUGAAGUUACUUAAACAACCAGGAGGUUGGCUUAGAAGCAGCCAUCCUUUAAAGAAAGCGUAAUAGCUCACUGGUCUAGUGAUUUUGCGCGGAAAAUAUAACGGGGCUAAAGUAAGUACCGAAGCUGUAGACUUGCACACAACUUAGAUUAUUUAAGUUUAGAAUAUGAGAAACUAAGUUAUAUGUUUAGUUAUAUUUUUACUGAUUUUUAUAGAGUAAAGAUAGAAAUAAAACUUAGUAAAAUCAGUAAAAAUAUUCUUAGACUAAAGUUAAGUAGUUUAAGUUGUGUGCAAGUGGUAGGAGAGCGUUCUAUUUGCGUCGAAGGUAUACCGGUAAGGAGUGCUGGAGCGAAUAGAAGUGAGCAUGCAGGCAUGAGUAGCGAUAAUUAAUGUGAGAAUCAUUAACGCCGUAAACCCAAGGUUUCCUACGCGAUGCUCGUCAUCGUAGGGUUAGUCGGGUCCUAAGUCGAGUCCGAAAGGGGUAGACGAUGGCAAAUUGGUUAAUAUUCCAAUACCAACAUUAGUGUGCGAUGGAAGGACGUUUAGGGCUAAGGGGGCUAGCGGAUGGAAGUGCUAGUCUAAGGUCGUAGGAGGUUAUACAGGCAAAUCCGUAUAACAAUACUCCGAGAACUGAAAGGCUUUUUGAAGUCUUCGGAUGGAUAGAAGAACCCCUGAUGCCGUCGAGCCAAGAAAAGUUUCUAAGUUUAGCUAAUGUUGCCCGUACCGUAAACCGACACAGGUGGGUGGGAUGAGUAUUCUAAGGCGCGUGGAAGAACUCUCUUUAAGGAACUCUGCAAAAUAGCACCGUAUCUUCGGUAUAAGGUGUGGUUCGCUUCGUAUUAGGAUUUACUCCGAAAGCGAAGAAACUUACAACAAAGAGUCCCUCCCGACUGUUUACCAAAAACACAGCACUCUGCUAACUCGUAAGAGGAUGUAUAGGGUGUGACGCCUGCCCGGUGCUCGAAGGUUAAUUGAUGGGGUUAGCAUUAGCGAAGCUCUUGAUCGAAGCCCGAGUAAACGGCGGCCGUAACUAUAACGGUCCUAAGGUAGCGAAAUUCCUUGUCGGUUAAAUACCGACCUGCAUGAAUGGCGUAACGAGAUGGGAGCUGUCUCAAAGAGGGAUCCAGUGAAAUUGUAGUGGAGGUGAAAAUUCCUCCUACCCGCGGCAAGACGGAAAGACCCCGUGGACCUUUACUACAGCUUGACACUGCUACUUGGAUAAGAAUGUGCAGGAUAGGUGGGAGGCUUUGAGUAUAUGACGCCAGUUGUAUAUGAGCCAUUGUUGAGAUACCACUCUUUCUUAUUUGGGUAGCUAACCAGCUUGAGUUAUCCUCAAGUGGGACAAUGUCUGGUGGGUAGUUUGACUGGGGCGGUCGCCUCCCAAAUAAUAACGGAGGCUUACAAAGGUUGGCUCAGAACGGUUGGAAAUCGUUCGUAGAGUAUAAAGGUAUAAGCCAGCUUAACUGCAAGACAUACAAGUCAAGCAGAGACGAAAGUCGGUCUUAGUGAUCCGGUGGUUCUGUGUGGAAGGGCCAUCGCUCAAAGGAUAAAAGGUACCCCGGGGAUAACAGGCUGAUCUCCCCCAAGAGCUCACAUCGACGGGGAGGUUUGGCACCUCGAUGUCGGCUCAUCGCAUCCUGGGGCUGGAGCAGGUCCCAAGGGUAUGGCUGUUCGCCAUUUAAAGCGGUACGCGAGCUGGGUUCAGAACGUCGUGAGACAGUUCGGUCCCUAUCUGCCGUGGGCGUAAGAAGAUUGAAGAGAUUUGACCCUAGUACGAGAGGACCGGGUUGAACAAACCACUGGUGUAGCUGUUGUUCUGCCAAGAGCAUCGCAGCGUAGCUAAGUUUGGAAAGGAUAAACGCUGAAAGCAUCUAAGCGUGAAGCCAACUCUAAGAUGAAUCUUCUCUAAGCUCUCUAGAAGACUACUAGUUUGAUAGGCUGGGUGUGUAAUGGAUGAAAGUCCUUUAGCUGACCAGUACUAAUAGAGCGUUUGGCUUAUCUUUAAUAAAGCAU
rnacentral:rRNA from 1 species